GGUCGCGUAGCUCGGCGGAAGAGCACACGCCUCACACGCGAGGUGUCGCCGGUUCGAACCCAGCCGGGACCACCC
rnacentral:tRNA from 1 species